rnacentral:rRNA from 1 species
AGAGUUUGAUCAUGGCUCAGAACGAACGCUGGCGGCAGGCCCAACACAUGCAAGUCGAGCGCACCUUCGGGUGAGCGGCGGACGGGUUAGUAACGCGUGGGAACAUACCCUUUUCUACGGAAUAGCCUCGGGAAACUGAGAGUAAUACCGUAUAAGCCCUUCGGGGGAAAGAUUUAUCGGGAAAGGAUUGGCCCGCGUUAGAUUAGAUAGUUGGUGGGGUAAUGGCCUACCAAGUCUACGACCUAUAGCUGGUUUUAGAGGAUGAUCAGCAACACUGGGACUGAGACACGGCCCAGACUCCUACGGGAGGCAGCAGUGGGGAAUCUUAGACAAUGGGCGCAAGCCUGAUCUAGCCAUGCCGCGUGUGUGAUGAAGGCCCUAGGGUCGUAAAGCACUUUCGCCAGGGAUGAUAACGACAGUACCUGGUAAAGAAACCCCGGCUAACUCCGUGCCAGCAGCCGCGGUAAUACGGAGGGGGUUAGCGUUGUUCGGAAUUACUGGGCGUAAAGCGCGCGUAGGCGGAUUGGAAAGUUGGGGGUGAAAUCCCGGGGCUCAACCCCGGAACUGCCUCCAAAACUAUCAGUCUAGAGUUCGAGAGAGGUGAGUGGAAUUCCGAGUGUAGAGGUGAAAUUCGUAGAUAUUCGGAGGAACACCAGUGGCGAAGGCGGCUCACUGGCUCGAUACUGACGCUGAGGUGCGAAAGUGUGGGGAGCAAACAGGAUUAGAUACCCUGGUAGUCCACACCGUAAACGAUGAAUGCCAGUCGUCGGGCAGUAUACUGUUCGGUGACACACCUAACGGAUUAAGCAUUCCGCCUGGGGGAGUACGGUCGCAAGAUUAAAACUCAAAGGAAUUGACGGGGGCCCGCACAAGCGGUGGAGCAUGUGGGUUUAAUUCGAAGCAACGCGCAGAACCUUACCAACCCUUGACAUCCUGUGCUAACCCGAGAGAAUCGGGGCGUUCACUUUCGGUGACGCCAAUGACAAGGUGCUCCAUGGGCUGUCCUCCACCUCCUGGUCGUGGAGAUAGUUCCGGUUUAAAUUCCGGCGACCAAAGGGCAACCCACCAUCUUUUAUUUUGCCACCAAUUUUGGCGGGGGG